GACGGAGGAUGCAAGUGUUAUCCGGAAUCACUGGGCGUAAAGCGUCUGUAGGUGGUUUAAUAAGUCAACUGUUAAAUCUUGAGGCUCAACUUCAAAAUCGCAGUCGAAACUAUUAGACUAGAGUAUAGUAGGGGUAAAGGGAAUUUCCAGUGGAGCGGUGAAAUGCGUAGAGAUUGGAAAGAACGCCAAUGGCGAAAGCACUUUACUGGGCUAUCACUGACACUGAGAGACGAAAGCUAGGGUAGCAAAUGGG
rnacentral:rRNA from 1 species